UUACGGGAGGCAGCAGUGGGGAAUCUUGCGCAAUGCGCGAAAGCGUGACGCAGCAACGCCGCGUGAGGGAAGAAGGCCUUCGGGUUGUAAACCUCUUUCAGGAGGGACGAAGGUUCAGGCGCGAACAGCGACCUGAACUGACGGUACCUCCAGAAGAAGCCCCGGCUAACUACGUGCCAGCAGCCGCGGUAAUACGUAGGGGGCUAGCGUUGUCCGGAAUCAUUGGGCGUAAAGCGCGCGUAGGCGGCCCGGUAAGUCCGCUGUAAAAGUCAAAGGCUCAACCUUUGAAUGUCAGUGGAUACUGCCGGGCUAGAGUCCGGAAGAGGCGAGUGGAAUUCCUGGUGUAGCGGUGGAAUGCGCAGAUAUCAGGAGGAACACCAACGGCGAAGGCAGCUCGCUGGGACGGUACUGACGCUGAGGCGCGAAAGCGUGGGGAGCGAACAGGAUUAGAUACCCUGGUAGA
rnacentral:rRNA from 1 species